GACGAACGCUGGCGGUGUGCUUAACACAUGCAAGUCGAACGGUAAGGCCCUUUCGGGGGUACACGAGUGGCGAACGGGUGAGUAACACGUGAGUAACCUGCCCUCCUCUCUGGGAUAACAGUCGGAAACGGUUGCUAAUACUGGAUAUGAGCUUGCAAGGCAUCUUGUGGGUUGGAAAGAUUUUUUUGGUUGGGGAUGGACUCGCGGCCUAUCAGCUUGUUGGUGAGGUAGUGGCUCACCAAGGCUUCGACGGGUAGCCGGCCUGAGAGGGCGACCGGCCACAUUGGGACUGAGAUACGGCCCAAACUCCUACGGGAGGCAGCAGGGGGGAAUAUUGCACAAUGGACGGAAGUCUGAUGCAGCAACGCCGCGUGCGGGAUGACGGCCUUCGGGUUGUAAACCGCUUUCAAUUGUGACGAAGCUUUUUGUGACGGUAGCAGUAGAAGAAGCACCGGCUAACUACGUG
rnacentral:rRNA from 1 species